GCUGCCCCUAGAGGCAUUGCAGGUGUAACUGCUGUGUCACCCGUACGUUAGUAGAUGACCAAGAAGAGUGAGUCUAUGUCUGUGAUCAGUAUUCUGACCUGUGCACAUCUGAAUGAUAGUAGCCUAACAUU